rnacentral:rRNA from 1 species
UACAGAGGUCUCAAGCGUUGUUCGGAUUCAUUGGGCGUAAAGGGUGCGUAGGUGGCGCCGUAAGUCGGGUGUGAAAUUUCGGAGCUUAACUCGGAACGGUCAACUGAUACUGCUUUGCUAGAGUACAGAAGGGGCAAUCGGAAUUCUUGGUGUAGCGGUGAAAUGCGUAGAUAUCAAGAGGAACACCUGAGGUGAAGACGGGUUGCUGGGCUGAUACUGACGCUGGAGGCUCGAAAGCUAGGGGAGCAAACGGGA